rnacentral:lncRNA from 1 species
CUUUUGCUUCUGCUCUCUUCACGCACGUUCUCUACUUUCCUUCUCUUAAAAAUAUUUCUUGAUUUUUCUUUGACCUUGCGGUGGUUUGGAGGUGGAAUCUACGGGUCGAAGUAGUAAAGAAGGGGCUGAAGGGACCCAACGUGCUGGUCAACUUCGAGAAGUUGAGAAAUGCUGCUUUAAAAUUCACGAGGAAUGUGGGAAAAAAUUUGUGAGUCUGCGAAUAUGAAUAGACCCUUCAUAGCGUUGAAGGAACUAGACAUGGGAUGAUCAUUUCUCAUAUUAUUGAAAAGUUUGAAUGAUUAAUUAUGGUUCUUGAUCAAAGAGUUAGGGUUUAUGGAAUUGAGCCCAGUUGAUGUUUAUACAAAAGAUGGCUUUGUUGUUACUCUAUUUUUUUAUACCGCCCGUGUCAACAAUGAUUAUGGUACUUUUGAAAUUUUUUGUAACUUAUUUAUCAUUUUUUGCUGAUUAAAUUAGAAGUAAAUAUUUUGAGUUUUGGAUUCUGUUAAUCUUAUUCUACUGAAGAACAAAGCUUAAGGCAAUUCCUGUUUGUGUCGAUUAGAUGAAGUGUAAAUUAAG